UCUUGAUUUCGGUGGUAUUCC
rnacentral:siRNA from 1 species